GACGAACGCUGGCGGCGUGCCUAAUACAUGCAAGUAGAACGCCGUUGCGCACGGGUGAGUAACGCGUAGGUAACUGCCUCAUAACGGGGGGUAAACUUUGGAAAAGAUAGCCAAUAACGCCUACUGUGGGAUGGACCUGCGUUGUAUUAGCGAGUUGGGGAGGUAAAGGGUGACCAAGGCGACGAGUCAUAGCCGACCUGAGAGGGGGAUCGGCCACACGGGGACUGGGACACGGCCCAGACUCCUACGGUGGGGAGGAGUUGGGAAACUUCGGCAAUGGACGGAAGUCUGACCGAGCAACGCCGCGUGGUUGAAGAAGGUUUUCUGAGCGUAAAGCUCUUUUUGGAGAGAAGCGGUAUCUAACCAGAAAGGGCCGGCUAACUACGUGCCAGCAGCCGCGGUAAUAC
rnacentral:rRNA from 1 species